rnacentral:pre_miRNA from 1 species
CGCGGGCUAAUAAGAAACGAUAUAAACGUGUAGGGCCUGGGGUUCUCCUACACGUUUAUAUCGUUCCUUGUUAGCCCGCGU